CAAGGUGGUCGGAGAGGUGUUUGGCUGGAUGGGUACUCACAUUUUCUAUAGCUGGACUGGCAUACUGGAGGUCUCAGACAAUCACGUUUAAAAACAAGUUAAUAAGUCUUCUUUUUCAGUUCCUAUUUUGAUAAACUGUUUUGAACUAUAAGAUUUUAUAAGAACUGUGGUUUAAGUUAAAUUCUGAAUUUUUGUAAACUUUAAUCUUGGACUAUUUUUGUAAAGUGCUAUUUUGGACUAAA